UGUAGUUCAUAAUAUAUAGGUUUUCUUAUUUGAUUUAUUUUUAAACAGCAUACAAAAUGACUGUUGUCUCAGAUUUUUCCCAGGUUGCAAUCACUAGUCAGCUGAUGACAGGGAGCCUGUCUGCUUCAAUGGCUUGAGCAAUCGCUUGGUGGGAGUGAGCUCAAUCUGCAACUAAUGCAACAGCUGUAGGCACCCUGAUUGAAAACACAGGUCUUUUGAAUGGAUGCAGCUGAUUUAUGUUUUAAUGGGUCGGGUGGCUGAUGUGUGGGAGGGAGGAAAAUGGAAUUAUAGGAUUUGUAGGCAAAGAAGAAAACUCAAACAGGAAAUACCAGUUCACAAAAAGCUAGCCACAGUGUUAUGGUAAUCUCACAACAUAGCCAUUUAGCCCCAAGACAAGCGCAGAUCCUUCCUAAGCAUGUCCAUUACUGUCUGGCAGGUACGUACUAAAAUCACCUUAUGGUGGAUAACCCCUUUAAUUCUUUUAGAAUGCUGUGCAUUUUCAUUUCUUGUGCUUCUCCUUUUAUUUUCUAUAUUAAAUCUCCAUAUUCUGAGCCCUAUAACCAUACCUCCCAACCAUCCCAGAUCCGGCAGGACAUUCCCGCUAUUGGCCCCCAUAUGUCCCGCAUUUAACUGUAAAUGCCUCUUAAUGAGGCGUCUGUAGUUAAAUGCGGUGCUCGGUGGAAGGUUUGACAGAGCCAUUGGCUCCUCACCCUGUCAAUCACUCUUGUGCUCGCUGGCUCAAGUUAGCCAGAGAACACAAGAGGCCAGGCUGAGCUCUUCCUGCUUCUGCGAACGAGUGACUUCAUCAGAUGCCGGAGCACAGAGGAAGAGAAAGGAAGAGCCCAUGCUAAGGAAGCCCCCGCCGCCGGAGCCGCUGGGAAGAGGGUAAAAGAGCCGCAGAAGGCAACUAGAUAUUCAUAUGCUGCAGAGGAGGAAAGGGAUGAAGAAUAUAAUCCUGAAGAAUCUUCUGAUGAGGAAGAUUAUAGUAUUCAACAGGAGACGUAAAGUGACAGUGAGGAGGAAACAGCUGCAACAAUACAUGAAAUAACGCCGAAACGAAAAGCUCUUCUGGAAAGACUAAGAAAAAAGGCAAAACUACAUGGCGAGCUACAUGAGCACUCUUUCCAAAACGAUCCAGAGUGGCCAAGCAUCAAUGACAUCCCAGGGUUAUUCGCAAGUCCGCCUAUAGAUCCUACUCUUGUUUUGCGCAUGGAAUCCUUGGGCCUAAACGACGAAAGCCAAUACCAUCAUGUGUUGUCAAUUUUAUUAGGUCUGAAUUUCCAGAUCCUGAUGGGCAAUAUAUUGGAUUCCACUGGCCUGAUGAAUACCCAGCAAGUGACAUGGCUGCUGAUGUUUGAUUCACUAUGACACUUACUUUCUGCACUUUUCAUGUUACUACAGUUUUACAUUGCACUUUUAUUGUUUACAAUUUUUUUAUGUUUAUUUAUCUUGUUAUUUAUAUUAUAUUAAUUAGUUAUUUACAUUUUUAUGGUGGUUAUUUUAUUUUGUCUAUUUUAAUCUGUCUACACCAGUCAUUUCCUAAACGUGGUCCCUCGGCACACUGCUAUUCCAUUUGACACUUCCCAUUGUUGGAGUUUAUUUUUCCGUUGAUUUUUUUAUUUCCAGCCCUGGCAUGCUCGCUGAUGACUGACGGCGCAGGGUGGAAGGGAAGCCUGCGUGCGAACUGCGCACAGUGUCCCACUCCCCCUUGCGGCCCAGUGAGGCAAAAAUGGAGCCAUGGUGAAGAAGCUGUAAUACCUACGGUGCCACCGUCACUGCGGUGUCACCCAGGUCACCCUCUACCCACCCCAACUGUCAACCCUCCCCCCCCCCGUCCACACCCGUGUCACCAUGUUCAUCCUCCUGUCCUCACUGUCACACAUGUUCCCCCUCCCCGUCAAUCAUGUCUACCCCCUAUUCACAUCUGUCACCCAUGUACACUCCUCUACACCCCUGUUACCCAAUUACACCCCUCUGUUACCCAUGUACACUCCUCUACACCCCUCUAUAAACCAUGUACACUCCUCUACACCCCUCUAUAAACCAUGUACACUCCUCUACACCCCUCUAUAAACCAUGUACACUCCUCUACACCCCUCUAUAAACCAUAUACACUCCUCUACACCCCUCUGUCCCCCAUGUACACCCCUCUGUUACCCAUGUACACUCAUCUACACCCCUCUGUUGCCCACGUAAAAUAAUUGCGGAUCCUAAUGUGUUUGUUUUGCAUGUUUAACAGUGAAGAAUUGUGUGUGGAAUAAAUAGUCAAGAUGGCAACAAUUCAAAGUAGAGAAGAUAUUAUUUGUCAGUUGCUAUAUAAAGCAGAAAUUUUAAAUACAUACCAACUGAAAAAUAGAUAAUCCAUACUCCUUGUAUCUCGGCCAGCUGCAGCACCUGGUGUAUGAGAUAACCCCCGGUUUUCUAUAAAAUUUUACCUUGUUUAAAGGUAGUCUUAUAUGGCAUAUAAAAAAAAUAUUAAUUCCUUAGAAACUGAAUAUUUUUGAUUUACGUUUUUUUUUUAACAAUUGAUGAUUAAAAUUUAUUUUCUGUAAUGAAAACAUUUCACAAAAACAAGUAGUAAUAAUAUUUUUAAAUAAACAACACUAUAAUAAUAAACCAUUAAUAAAAAAAAGUAUUUUUUACUCAUGAAAAUAUACAUGAAUAUGCAUGUUAAACAAUAUAGCACAUAAACAAGUAUAUAGCACAUAACAAACAAGUAAAAAAUUAAAAUCUUGAGUGGUGUUUUUCAACCAUUGAUUGUUUGUCUGGUUUUUCAAUUGGUGCUAUAUUAGAAGGCAUUGUUGACCGGCGAGAGGUCCAGUCUAUGGAAAUGUUUCCAUCGGCAAGUCCCAUUACAUCCUGCAUGAUUUUCGAGACGAAUUCCUGAGUGGUUGGCUCAUACACUGAUCGUACAAACCACUCUUUCCGGGCUUUUGAAUAGGCAAGAUUGUACCUCGGUGUGCCUAAAGGUCCGCUAGUUUCAGUCUCUCUUGUAACAACUGCUUGCACUCUAUUCACAUUAUAAUUAUGGUCAAGAGCAGCAAGCUGUGUUCGAGCAUACACCCCAUCUGUACUAAAAUGAAGUCUUUUAGGCCUGUAUUUUGUUAGUGAACUAUGAAACACUUCCAGAUCUCCAGUGUGACAAAAGUUGCUAAGAUGUCUAAGGUCUUUUUGUAGUCUUGUAUCCAUGACAAUUUUUCCAAGUUCAACAUAACAGGCACUUUGUUUUUUAACCAUUUUCGGGUGGACUGAAUGUCCUCAGGGAGUUGGUCAUGAUGACAAGAUGAUUCCUGACCAUUAUGAUCCUUCCAAAAAUGAACGUUGGUGACAUGGUACAAGACAGAGUUCCAUCUGUUUACAAGUUCAUCUGGAUUGCAUUCACAAGUAUUAGAACUCCACCAUAAAUGAUUUUUAAUUGGUCCUAUCCAUUCUGCUAAAUCUUGGCAGUUUUUAGUUUUUUUUUUGCUGACGGCAAGUAGCUUUUUUCCAAUAGAUUUAGCUAAGUGCCAGACAUCAAACUGGUGACCAAUUGUUUUAUAUUCCUCACACAGCAUUUUUCUGAUGGAUACGUGCCGGUCAGUGCAAAUGAUGUCUAUGUCCACUUUAUUUUGCAGUAGAAAUUCCAAGGCAUUCUUGCACGCUAUUUUUUCAAGGGCAACAGAGGAUAAACCAAUACCGAUUUGUUGAAUGUUGAAAUUCAAUAUUUUGUUAGUUUCUACAUCCAUCAAUGUGUAUAUGCAAUAUUUUGCACUGUGCCCGGGUGAAUCACAUUGUCCAUCUCCAGCAACACAUACUGCAUGUUGUGAUAUUUUUUCCAUUUCUAAUUUUUGAUUAAUUGUCCAAGAAUUUUCAAUUGCAGGAAAUAUAUAUAUUUUUUGGAUACGGUAGUAAGUAGCCUGGCUAAUUUCCAAAAUAUUAAAUAUUUUUAGGAACUGUUGGAUUUUGAUGUAAGUGUUUCCACUAGUAAUGAUAGCAGUAGCUAACUGUAAAUUUCCAAAUGGUUUCUUUCCCAAUCGGGGCUGGCUCUGCCAUAUGCGUUUUAAAUGUUUGGCCUCGCAUUCAGCAAAGACUGAAAUAUAUGAUCCCUUUGUUUUUUUAUACACUCUUAGUAUUUUUUUGUUGCAGGGUGGAUUAGAGGUACAAGGCAUCUUGUAUAGUAAUGUGUCCAAACAGCUUUCAUAAACUAUGAAUUUUCUUUCUUCAUGAUGUGGUACAUUUACAUUUACAAAUUUUUCACUCAGCACAUGCUGACUGUCCUCUUCUUCGUAGUCUUCAUCAUCUGAAUGAACUGAGUCUCCCUCAUCAUCACUUGAACUACUUUCAUUUGUUGAGACUGGAGUUGUGAUUGUUGAUAAACUUUUAUCUACUUCUAAAACAGAUAUAGGGGCAUGCAGAGUAGAUUCCUCCACAAUAACAGUGACUUCAGGGUCUUCAAUAGGUUGUAUAGGUGAAAUUGUCAAUUCGGAUAAAAGCGUGGCAGAUAGUAGUUCGUGUCUAGCUCUACAACUUUCUUGAAACUCAGGUACACUGUUAAGAGUUGCUGAUCCAGUUGGUCCUAUAUUUUUUUUCGGAGUCGAAAAUAUUACACUGGCACCUUGCAAUGGCUCCGAAGGCAGGUUUCCAAAUACCAAGCUUUGUCUUGAUUUUUUUUUUCUCAAGAUUUUUUUUUUAA